AGAGUUUGAUCCUGGCUCAGAAUGAACGUUGGCGGCGUGGAUUAGGCAUGCAAGUCGAGCGAGAACCCCGCAAGGGGGGACAGCGGCAAACGGGGUAGUAACGGGUAGGUGACGUACCCUCGGGUCGGGGAUAGCCACGGGAAACUGUGGGUAAUACCCGAUAACCUCCUGAAGCGUGAUGGUUUCGGGAGCAAAGGUGUGAUUCCACCGGAGGAGCGGCCUGCCUCGUAUUAGCUGGUUGGUGAGGUAACGGCUCACCAAGGCGACGAUGCGUCGGGGGUGUGAAAGCAUGACCCCCACCACUGGGACUGAGAUACUGCCCAGACACCUACGGGUGGCUGCAGUCGAGAAUCUUCGGCAAUGGGCGCAAGCCUGACCGAGCGACGCCGCGUGUGGGAUGAAGGCCCUUGGGUUGUAAACCACUGUCAGAGGGGAUGAAAUGCAUGAGGGCAAUCUCUCAUGUUUGACAUAGCCUCAGAGGAAGCACGGGCUAAGUUCGUGCCAGCAGCCGCGGUAAUACGAACUGUGCGAACGUUAUUCGGAAUCACUGGGCUUACAGGGUGCGUAGGCGGCCUGUUAAGUAGGGUGUGAAAGCCCCCGGCUCAACCGGGGAAUGGCGCCCUAAACUGGCGGGCUGGAGUGAGAUAGGGGUGUGUGGAACUUCCGGUGGAGCGGUGAAAUGUGUUGAUAUCGGAAGGAACGCCGGUGGCGAAAGCGACACACUGGAUCUUGUCUGACGCUGAGGCACGAAAGCCAGGGGAGCGAACGGGAUUAGAUACCCCCGUAGUCC
rnacentral:rRNA from 1 species